rnacentral:rRNA from 1 species
GAUGAACGCUAGCGGGAGGCCUAACACAUGCAAGCCGAGCGGUAUUGUUUCUUCGGAAAUGAGAGAGCGGCGUACGGGUGCGUAACACGUGUGCAACCUGCCUUUAUCUGGGGGAUAGCCUUUCGAAAGGAAGAUUAAUACUCCAUAAUAUAUUGAACGGCAUCGUUUAAUAUUGAAAGCUCCGGCGGAUAGAGAUGGGCACGCGCAAGAUUAGCUAGUUGGUGAGGUAACGGCUCACCAAGGCGAUGAUCUUUAGGGGGCCUGAGAGGGUGAUCCCCCACACUGGUGCUGAGACACGGACCAGACUCCUACGGGAGGCAGCAGUGAGGAAUAUUGGUCAAUGGGUGCAAGCCUGAACCAGCCAUCCCGCGUGAAGGACGACUGCCCUAUGGGUUGUAAACUUCUUUUGUAUAGGGAUAAACCUACCCUCGAGAGGGUAGCUGAAGGUACUAUACGAAUAAGCACCGGCUAACUCCGUG